GUCCAGUCAAGGAAACUUUGAGGGAAAUUUUGAGUCACUGGACCUUGCGGAAUUUGCUAAGAAGCAGCCAUGGUGGCGUAAGCUGUUCGGGCAGGAAUCUGGACCUUCAGCAGAAAAGUAUAGCGUGGCAACCCAGCUGUUCAUUGGAGGUGUCACUGGAUGCUUGCAAACCAUACUGGGUACAUCAAAGUUGACUGGCAACGAGUGGAGAAGGACAUGAAGAAAGCCAAAGAGCAGCUGAAGAUCCGUAAGAGCAAUCAGAUACCUACUGAGGUCAGGAGCAAAGCUGAGGAGGUGGUGUCAUUUGUGAAGAAGAAUGUUCUAGUAACUGGGGGAUUUUUCGGAGGCUUUCUGCUUGGCAUGGCAUCCUAAGGAAGAUGACCUCAUGUUCAUUGUUCCUGGUUUUUUCCAGCCAGCAGCCUCUACACUCCAUCAUAGGACAUCGAGUCCCUCCUCCUCUUCUCCCAUGCCUUCUUCCCUGCCAUGGCAAAUCUGAGUGGCUUCUCUAAGCAUCUGCUGGUACAAGUCAAUGUGGCACCAUGAGCUUCAUGGUGGCAGAAGAGACAAUAGUCCUUAGCUCUCCUCCCAGUACACCCCCUACUUGGCCAGUCUGUAGGCCAACAAGAAGGUUCCUUUACCCCCAUGCAAGACACUUAUGAGAACACAUUACAAGAUGGCUGACCGUGGAGGAUGAGUGGAUCCUGAAAGGUUGUCCCAAACUGUUGAUUUGGAAAAGAAAUAAGCACAUAGAUAACCUUAUUGUGUGCUGCAUGGAAAGGAACUGAAUACAUUUGCCUUUAAGCAUG
rnacentral:lncRNA from 1 species